rnacentral:lncRNA from 1 species
GAGUUCUUCCUGGGUUUUCUAAUUCUGCUUCUAUGAGCAUUAAUUUCAUUUUCUCGGGUUUUGAUUAUAGGAAUUUUUUCAAGAUCAUAUACAGAAGAUUAGAAUAUAAAAUCAUAGAUGCAUACCUGUAUUUGCCAUUGAUUUUCAAAGUUCAAUCAAUCAUGGAUGCUCCCACGAACAUCGAAGGCCAAAUCCUUCUCCCCAGUUUCCUCUUAACAGGCGGCU